rnacentral:lncRNA from 1 species
GCGCAUGCGCGGCGGGGCCGCGCUGGCCGGCCUCGGGGCCGGGUCUCUGGCGAUUCAGGCCUUUUGCUAAGCGUCGUGACGUGCACGUGACCCCAUUGACUAGCCUUUCCCGCAUGAAUUCUUGACAACUUUCAAGAUCCAGAUGGGAAGAGGGCAGUGCUAUAGGAGGGGAGACCACUGGUGACAUGCCAGGCACCCCCUGGCCCGGACUGACACAUAAAAUCAACCACCACUAUAGCCAGGCCAGCCUCAGGAUAAGUGUCUUUCCCAGUUUCAUAUAUAGAAGACGAAUUAAAUAUGAACUGAAUGACGGAUUUUGUGGAGACUGUCCAGGCGGAUCCAAAACCAAGCAGAAGCGCUCAGAAGCACCCUUGUCAGAACACUGGGAGAGAGAGACGUUGACAGCCACCAACCGAAUGCUGAACGAAGGCGGAGGAAACUGGAAAAUGAAUGCUAUGGUGAAUGCCACCGAGUCCAUGGGGACAGUAAUGAGAAAAUGAAGAUGGAUGCUUCUUGGAGCUCAGCUAACGGUGGAGGAAGAACUUUGGACAGACUUCUACGCUUCCCACCCUCUGACACCUGUAGAAAAUCGUCAUUCUAGUCCAGAGUUAUUGGUUUCCCCCUGGACUCCUGCAAACUCUACCUGGAAGAAGAAUCUGUUCUCCAUCUCUGAGGCAGUGGUUCUCACACAUGCUCAUCACAAGAGUCCCUCAAAGGGGCAGAGUCCCAGCUGGAAUCAGGAAAUGUGAUCACAGAAGCCAGGUCAGAGUGAUGUGCCUGUUGGCUUCAAAGACGGAGGAAAGGGGCCAUGAGCCAAAGGAUGUGAGCAGCCUCUAGAAGCUGGACAAGGCAAAGAUUCUCUGCCAGAGACUCUGAAAGGAACAGAGCUCCGCCGACAUCUGCGUUAGCCCAGUGAGACUCUUUUUGGACAUCUGGACUAGAGAAUGGAGCCGAUGCCUUCAUCUCUGUAACUAAGACCUGACACGUCCAUGGGGUCCAGCGGGAGGACAGGUGAACUGCUUUGGCUAUUGUGCGUGCUGUGGCUGGAGCCCGCUCAGUGGCCGUGGCCCUCGGAAGCCCAUGGUGAAGGCCGAUGGAAAAGGUCUGAGGUCCUUGGAGUUCCUGUCAUGGCGCAGCAGAAACGAAUCCGACGAGGAACCAUGAGGUUGCGGGUUGGAUCCCUGGCCUCCCUCGCAGCGCAAGUAGCAGAAGAAAAUACUUUCUUUUUCUCAUGUUUUUGUCUCCCGAUGUCGAUGCUACUAACAGAAAGAGAAAACAUCUCCCAGUGUGUUGGGCAGAACAACAUCCCCUUAGAAAUGUCCACUCCCUGAAACCUGGAACCUGUGAAUAUGCUAUAUCUCAGAUGGCCCGAGGGACCCUGUUGGUGCAAUUUGGGUUGUGUACUUAAAAUGGAGAUCAUCUGAGGUUCGGCAGGUGGCCCAAGCAAGCAAAAGAAGAACUUUCUCCUGCUGGCGUCAGAGAGAUGCAGCUUCCGGAAAGGCAGGAGGGGCGGGGCUCUGGGGAGCCCACCAAGGUGCACUGUCGGAGGUCUCCAGGCACUGUUGCUGACUUUGAGGAUGGAAGAAGGGCCCCAUGAACCAAGGAGGGUCUCUAGGAUGACCCCUGCCUGAUAGGCAGCUGGGAAAGAGGGACCUCAGUUCUACAACCCCCCAGAAUUGGAUUCUGCCAACACCUUGAAUGAUCCUGGAAGUGGAUUCUUCCCAGAACCUCCUAAUAAGAGUCCAGCCAGGUGACGUCUUAAUUUUGAGCUUGGGAGACUUUGAGUAGAGGACGCCAUCAAGGCCACUCAGACCUCCAACCUACAGAACCAGAUACUAAAUUUUAAGCUACUCCUGUGUGAUCAUCUGUUAGAGCAGCCAUCAACUAAUAUUUCCACUCAGCACUUUCUUCUUUCCGUAAAGUGGCACAAGUGAAGUCAGCAGCCCACACACUUGGGGAAUUUGCAGUUCUCUUUGGAGCAGAAGACUGGCAAGUCUUCAUUUGGAGUGAGAAGUAGAGAGAAAAGGAUAUUCACCUGCCCACCUCUUCCCUGAAGCACUCUCAAAGAUGGUCCAUCAAGCAGAUCAAGGAUCAACGCAUUUUAAAAAGGAAUUCCUAAAAGUCCAUUUUGGGAAUCGUUAGAUAAUCCCAGGACAGAUGAAAUAGACAAUGUUAUGACUGUGAUUCCACGUUUUGAAGGAUAGCUACUGUUAAAAACACAGGUAGUACCUUGAGAGGUAAGCGUGGCUAUUUCAACUGAAUUGAAUUGCAGCCUGUGUUUAUCUGACAUCAAGGAAGAUUCUACUAGGAUGCAUUUCCAGUGUUUUCUCUGAACACAUCAGUCAUUUGGGGGAGAUAGAAAAAAAAAAAAAACAGGGAGGCUUUUAUAACACAGGGAUCAAAAGGGGAUAUGUUUUCUUUCUGUAUAUAAAGUAUAACUGAUGUAAUGAAGAUACCUACAGUCAUGCCAAGUAAAUGAACAGUUAGCCCCACAUGCGCAGAGUAGGUUACUAAGGGAAGAAUUACGUAGAGUUGAGAAAGUUAACUAACCCAAAAGAUUUCACUUUGCAAUAAUAUGGUUUUGAUUACACCCUUUUGAUGAUGCAGCCGGUGGAGACUCUGGCUCAUCCCUUAGGAGGGGCAGAAAUGAGUCCCCCAAGAAGUCACUUGUUAGGGAAAAGAAGCUACCAGUUAGAGUAACAAUUUGCUAGAUACCGUCUGCAAAGUAGCCAAACCAUUACUUGAAACACAGAGGAAAUCUUGGGUGGGGGUUGAGAAAGCAGCCUUGACUGAGUACAGACCCAGACCAUGAGUUCUUUCUUCCUCAUUCCCUUAUGAAAACAAGAAAGGACAACAGAACCAAAUCCAGGAGAGUAGAAAUUGUGACACUCAAGGCAUCUGGCGUGAAUGUGGUCUUUCCUAAGCUCUGUAUGGGCAGCCUUGCAGGCAGAAGCCCUUGGAGGCAGCUCUGCCUGAGGUUUACCUGACUUCACUGUGGGCAUAUUUCUUGGUACAACAUAUGCUGUACAUUUUUAGACCUUGUAUAUCCACAAGAAACAGAUGCUUCUUGAAAUUACAGACAUGGAGAUUUAUUUUGUUCAAGUCAACAAGGUGAAAUAAAAACAUAGAGCAUUUUGGGUGAAGUCUUUAAAAUUUUCCAUCACACCAUCUGCAUUCCCAUUCAGUCCCCAGAUUACUUGGGAAAACAGCAAGAUUUCACUUUCAGGCCAAAGUUACUCAAAAUCAAUUACUUAAACACUUCCCCAGUGGGGAUUAUCUGAACUUGCAAGAACAUGUGUGUCUUUUAAACUUACCAUUUCUUUUCUUCUUUAUAUUUAAAAACAUCUGAAAGAGCUCAAACGUUUAGAAAAGUACUGCGAAUAAGUUACUGAACAGCGUUGUAACUACUAUGCAGCUAUAUUAAAAUUCACCUUUUUUUGGUCAAAUUCGUCGUCAGAUCAUCCGACAUAAGAAUUGCUGCAGGGAUCGGAUUGGUCCCAGACAUUGAAUAGACACGUUCAUUUUAUAUUUUAAAAAAGUAUAAAAUUUAUAGGUUUGGGUUCGGCAAUAACUUGGUCUUCUCUGUGACUCCUUCUUUCUAGAGCAAUCACUAUGAGUUGGUUCUGUUUUCUAAGAAGAAAGGAAGGGAAGCUUUCCUGGAGAUUCCUAUAAUGUGGUCUCUUGGAAUUAGAUACUCAGUAUUCCAUCUUUGUCUCCUUGAUCCUCCCUACAUCAAACAUUAUCUUCUUUUACUGAAAAUGAAUCAUUCCUCUUCUCCCACACCCUCCUCCCCUCGUAAUGAGAUAGUCUCGGCUAAGACUGCUAAGAGCUGUAAUACAUCCCUGCCCAUCCUGACGCCAGCAAAGGCUCGCCCCUACUCUCCCUGGCUUUCCUUUGCUGUCUCCCCUUAACGAGCCCCUCCAUCAUCCUCUCCUCCCUGUAAUCGUCACCCACAAACAGAUCCUCGCUGUCAGCGGGCCCAUCAAUUCCCCAAGAGCGUCUCCCUUCCACUCCCGGGCCCCAUUUUUCUUCUUAUCGCCACCAUUUCUAAGCACGCUUUGAAUUCCUUGUUGCCAAAGAAUAUCCCAGAUAGACCCUUAAAAACAACUAAAGGAAGGAAGGCCUUUCUUGAAUGAGGCUCAAACGUCCUCUGAAAAAUACACACUACUGUUUGGGAGGGGUAGCUUGUUUCUGUCAAUGUCUGGCUGCCUUGGCCCACUGGGCCCGGAGAGAGCUAGCAUACUCUGUUACUGAGUACCUCUUUGGUGUAGGCAUUUUACAGAAGAGCAAAGCAGAUUCCUGACACUUCUAUGAAUUAUAAAAAAAAAAAAAA